AUUGACAGCCGCUAGAGGCGCUUCUCACUGUGAUUUUCACAGAGAGAAGACGCCAGCGUCCAUAGGAAAGCAUUGAGAAUGCUCUCCUACGGACUGGCUGAAUGUGUGCGCGGCUCUUGCCGCGUAUGCGCAUUCAGCUGAUAACGUCGGAAGGAGGAUGAAAGUCCCCAGCGCCGGGCUCCCGCUGGAGAAAAGUAAGCCUUUAACCCCUUCCUCCCCCUUUAGCCCGGCGGGAGGGGGACCUAUUAACACUAUAGUGCCAGGAAAACAAGUUUGUUUUCCGGCCACUAUAGUGGCCCUUUAACUGAAAAGUGGGCUGUUGUGAUUUUGAC